ensembl:snoRNA SNORA70 Small nucleolar RNA SNORA70
AUGCACAUACAAGGCCUACUUUUAAACCAAAAAACAUAAUUUAUCUUGCUGCUGGCUUCUCAGUGUGCAACAGUAGCAAACAGCAACUUCCCCAGUAGUGUAUGUUACGUGUCAUUCAUAUGGGUUACUUUAAGGGACCAUGGAUACACUG